rnacentral:sRNA from 2 species
AGUGUAACCUCCUAAAUACACUUAGCCCUUAUUAAAGGGCUUUUU